UGAAAGGGUUUCCUCGGGGCUGCCGGAAUCGGUGCAAUCUCAGAGUCACAGGUCAGGCGCUCUCCCAGCCCCCAACCCCUGGCGGCAGAGCCCUGGGGAGGCGUUAAGAAGGCGGAUGGCAGCGGGGCUCGGCGGCCCAGGGGCGGUCUGGCAGGUUCAGGUUUCCCCGAGUGCCAGCUGAAACGGCGGUCCUUCGCGCUCGGUUGCAGCUGCAAGAGGACCCGGGGCACCCGCUUCCCAGCUGGCUUCCGACCCCAUCCCGGGCGGUGACUUUGUCAUGGCUGAGCACAGCUGCAUUUGUUCUGAUGACCCACUAAUCUGCGCUAGAAAGGUCCAAUUGUCAACCUGCUUUUUGCCCCAGUAUAACUCUACUUGAAGAAUUCUCUGGUGAGAAUAGAAGAGGAGGAAACAAGUCAUCCUAUGAGGCCAGAAUAAUACCAAAAUCAACAAAAAGCAUCCAAAAAAUGGAACCUACAGACAAAUAUCUCUCAUGAAGUUAAAC
ensembl:lncRNA